rnacentral:rRNA from 1 species
AACGAACGCUGGCGGCAUGCCUAACACAUGCAAGUCGAACGAGACCUUCGGGUCUAGUGGCGCACGUGUGCGUAACGCGUGGGAACCUGCCCUUAGGUUCGGAAUAACUCCCCGAAAGGGGUGCUAAUACCGGAUAAUGUCUUCGGACCAAAGAUUUAUCGCCUUUGGAUGGGCCCGCGUUGGAUUAGCUAGUUGGUAGGGUAAAAGCCUACCAUGGCGACGAUCCAUAGCUGGUCUGAGAGGAAGAUCAGCCACACUGGGACUGAGACACGGCCCAGACUCCUACGGGAGGCAGCAGUGGGGAAUAUUGGACAAGGGGCGAAAGCCUGAUCCAGCAAUGCCGCGUGAGUGAUGAAGGCCGUAGGGUUGUAAAGCUCUUUUACACGGGAUGAUAAUGACAGUACCGGGAGAAUAAGCACCGGCUAACUCCGUG